GACGGACGCUGGCGGCGUGCUUAACACAUGCAAGUCGAACGGAAAGGCCCUGCUUUUGUGGGGUGCUCGAGUGGCGAACGGGUGAGUAACACGUGAGUAACCUGCCCUUGACUUUGGGAUAACUUCAGGAAACUGGGGCUAAUACCGGAUAGGAGCUCCUGCUGCAUGGUGGGGGUUGGAAAGUUUCGGCGGUUGGGGAUGGACUCGCGGCUUAUCAGCUUGUUGGUGGGGUAGUGGCUUACCAAGGCUUUGACGGGUAGCCGGCCUGAGAGGGUGACCGGCCACAUUGGGACUGAGAUACGGCCCAGACUCCUACGGGAGGCAGCAGUGGGGAAUAUUGCACAAUGGGCGGAAGCCUGAUGCAGCAACGCCGCGUGCGGGAUGACGGCCUUCGGGUUGUAAACCGCUUUCGCCUGUGACGAAGCGUGAGUGACGGGAAUGGGGAAAGAAGCACCGGCUAACUACGU
rnacentral:rRNA from 1 species